ACGCUGGCGGGAUGCUUUACACAUGCAAGUCGAACGGCAGCACGGACUUCGGUCUGGUGGCGAGUGGCGAACGGGUGAGUAAUGUAUCGGAACGUGCCUAGUGGGGAUAACUACGCGAAAGCGUAGCUAAUACCGCAUACGCCCUUCGGGGGAAAGCGGGGACCUUCGGGCCUCGCACUAUUAGAGCGCCGAUACAGCCUCCGGAUUAGCUGAAGCUGUGGGGUGAACGGUCACCAAGGCGACGAUCCGUGCUUGCUCGAGGACGACCAGCCACACUGACUGAGACGCUUCCAGACUCUACGGGAGGCAGCAGUGGGGAAUUUUGGACAAUGGGGAAGCCCUGAUCCAGCCAUCCCGCGUGUGCGAUGAAGGCCUUCGGGUUGUAAAGCACUUGGCAGGAGAAGAAACGGCACGGGAUAAUACCCCGUGCAACUGACGGUACCUGCAGAAUAAGCACUGGCUAACUACGUGCCAGCAGCCGCGGUAAUACGUAGGGUGCAAGCGUUAAUCGGAAUUACUGGGCGUAAAGCGUGCGCAGGCGGUUCGGAAAGAAAGAUGUGAAAUCCCGGCAGAGCUUAACUUUCAACCGCAUUUUCUUUAACUACCGAGCUAGAGUGUGUCAGAGGGAGGUGGAAUUCCGCGUGUAGCAGUGAAAUGCGUAGAUAUGCGGAGGAACACCGAUGGCGAAGGCAGCCUCCUGGGAUAACACUGACGCUCAUGCACGAAAGCGUGGGGAGCAAACAGGAUUAGAUACCCUGUAGUCCACGCCCUAAACGAUGUCAACUAGCUGUUGGGGCCUUCGGCCUGGUAGCGCAGCUAACGCGUGAAGUUGACCGCCUGGGAGUACGGUCGCAAGAUUAAACUCAAAGGAAUUGACGUGGGGACUCCGCACAAGCGGUGUGGAUGAUGUGAUUAAUUCGAUGCAACGCGAAAAACCUUACCUACCCUUGACAUGUCUGAAUCCCGGAAGAUCGGGAGUGCUCGCAAGAGAACCGGAAAUUUGUGCUGCAUGGCUGUCGUCAGUUCGUGUCGUGAUGUUGGUUAAGUCCCCGUAACGAGCGCAACCCUUGUCAUUAGUUGCUACGAAAGGGCACUCUAAUGACUGCCGGUGACAAACCGGAGGAAGGUGGGGAUGACGUCAAGUCCUCAUGGCUCCCGCGGGUAGGGUCAUCGUCAUACAAUGGUCGGGACAGAGGGUCGCCAACCCGCGAGGGGGAGCCAAUCCCAGAAACCCGAUCGGUCCGGAUCGCAGUCUUGCAACUCGACUGCGUGAAGUCGGAAUCGCUAGUAAUCGCGGAUCAGCAUGUCGCGGUGAAUACGUUCCCCGGUCUGUAUACCGCCCGUCACACCAUGGGAGUGGGUUUUACCAGAAGUAGUUAGCCUAACCGUAAGGAGGGCGAUUACCACGGUAGGAUUCAUGACUGGGGUGAAGUCGUAACAAGGUAG
rnacentral:rRNA from 1 species